ensembl:ncRNA mir-4962 mir-4962 stem loop
UCCUUUCUUUUCUCUCCGUCUCUCUCUUUCCCUCUCUCUGUUUACAUUGAGCUGUUUUGUCCGUGCACGUGCUAGACGAUGUAGAGAGUGAGGGAGAGAGCGAAUAGAAUAACAGCUCAUUGUG